AUUGAACGCUGGCGGCAUGCCUUACACAUGCAAGUCGAACGGCAGCACGGGGGCAACCCUGGUGGCGAGUGGCGAACGGGUGAGUAAUACAUCGGAACGUGUCCUGUAGUGGGGGAUAGCCCGGCGAAGGCCGGAUUAAUACCGCAUACGCUCUACGGAGGAAAGGGGGGGAUCUUAGGACCUCCCGCUACAGGGGCGGCCGAUGGCAGAUUAGCUAGUUGGUGGGGUAAAGGCCUACCAAGGCGACGAUCUGUAGCUGGUCUGAGAGGACGACCAGCCACACUGGGACUGAGACACGGCCCAGACUCCUACGGGAGGCAGCAGUGGGGAAUUUUGGACAAUGGGGGCAACCCUGAUCCAGCAAUGCCGCGUGUGUGAAGAAGGCCUUCGGGUUGUAAAGCACUUUUGUCCGGAAAGAAAACGCCGUGGUUAAUACCCGGGGCGGAUGACGGUACCGGAAGAAUAAGCACCGGCUAACUACGUG
rnacentral:rRNA from 1 species